CCGGCACCCGGGUACAGAGUUGGAACCCGCUGAGUGCGUGCUCCUGGGCCGCCCGGUUACCUCGUGCGCCGCCGCUCGCCGGGCCCCGGGGCCUCCCUGCUCCGCCAGGCGCAGCCGCAGGUCACACAGGCGCUGGUGCAGGUCGCGGUUCUCCGCCUGGAGCUGUGCCACCUCGCGCGUCAGGCGCGGGCCCUCGGCUUGGCCCCGCUCCGGCCCGCGCAGCUGCUCGUCCCUCAGGCGCUGCACCUCCGCGCACAGCCAGCGAAUGUCCUCCUCCUGCCGCUGCAGGCGCGAGGCCACCGCCUGAGCGGCCAGGGCCUGGGCCGCCAUGGCAGCCUCCUUGUGCCACCUGAGCCCGCCGGCCCAGUCAGAGUGACAAGGAGACGGGGCGGGGCGGAGCUGAAGGGACUCGGGAGGCGGAGUGAAGUGGGGGGUGCAUCACUAUACGGGGCGGGGCUGGGGCCGGGUAUCCCUGCAUGGGGCGGAGCGAUGCACGGGCAAGAGGCGGGGCCAUAUCGCGGCAACUGGGCAGGGGCGAGGCGAUGGGCAAUGAAGAGGGC
rnacentral:lncRNA from 1 species